rnacentral:rRNA from 1 species
UACGUAGGGUCCGAGCGUUGUCCGGAGUUACUGGGCGUAAAGGGCGCGCAGGCGGCGGUGCUGGCCCGGCGUGAAAGCCCCCGGCUCAACCGGGGAGGGUCGUCGGGACCGCACCGCUUGAGGGCGGUAGGGCCGGUGGAAUGGCCUGGUGUAGUGGUGAAAUGCGUAGAGAUCAGCAGAACACCUGGGCGAAGGCGGCCGGCUGGGCCGACCCUG